rnacentral:rRNA from 1 species
CAGGGGAUAACAUUUGGAAACAAGUGCUAAUACCGUAUAACACUAACAACCGCAUGGUUGUUAGUUUAAAGAUGGUUCUGCUAUCACUAAGAGAUGGACCCGCGGUGCAUUAGCUAGUUGGUAAGGUAAUGGCUUACCAAGGCGAUGAUGCGUAGCCGAGUUGAGAGACUGAUCGGCCACAAUGGGACUGAGACACGGCCCAUACUCCUACGGGAGGCAGCAGUAGGGAAUCUUCCACAAUGGGCGCAAGCCUGAUGGAGCAACGCCGCGUGUGUGAUGAAGGGUUUCGGCUCGUAAAACACUGUUAUAAGAGAAGAACGACAUUGAGAGUAACUGUUCAGUGUGUGACGGUAUCUUAUCAGAAAGGAACGGCUAAAUACGUGCCAGCAGCCGCGGUAAUACGUAUGUUCCAAGCGUUAUCCGGAUUUAUUGGGCGUAAAGCGAGCGCAGACGGUUAUUUAAGUCUGAAGUGAAAGCCCUCAGCUCAACUGAGGAAGGGCUUUGGAAACUGGAUAACUUGAGUGCAGUAGAGGAAAGUGGAACUCCAUGUGUAGCGGUGAAAUGCGUAGAUAUAUGGAAGAACACCGGUGGCGAAAGCGGGUUUCUGGACUGUAACUGACGUUGAGG